rnacentral:lncRNA from 1 species
GUAUAAUAAAAAAAAAAAAAAGAAAUGAAAGUGCAGAUUCUCCUCUGCCUUACUGAUUCUAAAUGUAUUUCUGUGGCAUAUGCAAAAUGGACAAGAAGUUCUAUUUAACAGAAAAUGGAAACUGAGUCACAGAGAGGGUAAAUAACAUGGAAAUAUCAAAUCAUCUUGAUCUGGCAACUGUGGAAUAAAACUAAAGUCUUCUGAGAAAUUUUUAGCUUCUAAAUUAUAUUUAUAACUGUUUCCAAUAUAUUGGGCCAGUUCUACCUUGUAAAAUAAACAUCUAUAAUAACCACAACUGUUAAUGAAAUUACUCUUUCAGGGAUUGAGUUUCAUUACAUCACCAGAGAAAAAUUAAAAAGUGACAUAGAAGAGCCACAGACUGACAAGCCUCAGAGUGCCUGUGGGAACAUGGCAACUAGCCACAAGCUGGAAAGUCUGCCGCAUUCUGAAGGGCUGCACUCACCUGCAUGGGAGUCACUUGGCCAUGCUCUGGCCAUAUGCAAUCAUGCCCAAAUUAGUGCUAUAGAAAUUGAAUUAAUGCAAUACAGUUUUAAAAAAUGUGUUGUUCAUUGUAAUGGUCAGUCAAUCAGCCUGGACCACACUUCAGUCAACCUCCACCAUAGUUCAGAUGCUAUCAACUACUUACCACAUGGCUUGAGGCAAUUCACUUAGCCUCAAAGACUGUUUCCUCAUUUGUUAAAAUAAGGCUAUUAGGAGUCAUUUGUUAAGUCAUAAGGUUUUUGCAUGAGAACUGAAUUGUCUUACAAUGUCUGCCUGGCCCAAAAUAAAAAGUCAAUAAAUAUAAACUUUUUUUAAUAUUAGAUAAAAAUUUUGUAUAAAAAGCAAAAGAUGCUGAGGAAAUUUAGGAAUGAUUCCCCCUAUAAUGGAAGCAGGGUAAAUAUUCAUAAAAAUUCCUCAGUGAAAAUAAGGCUAAGGUAAGGAAUACACUAGAAGAACAAGGAAAUUCCAUUGAGUUAGCAAGGCAUCAAUACUGUGUAUGUUUUGGUAGCAAGUUACUAAGCAUACUUUGCUGCUUGCAGUUUGAGUGAUCUGGGUGUAGUCCCUUAACCUCUCUGAGAUUUGGUUUAUUUAUUUGUCAAAGGUUUAUAUUCCUAUCUUUCAGAUCUCAUAGAAUUUUUGUAUCAUAAUAAAUAGAACAAGUGAAAACAUCUUAUAAACUAUCAAAUGUAUUACAAAUUGAAAUUUUCUUAUGAGAAAAGAAAAGAAACGAGACAGAUCUUAAUAUCUACUCAGAGAAGACGAACUUCCAGAUAACCUUUUAGGAAAAGAAGGCUUUCAAAUGGCAAUGGAGAAGACAGAAAGGAGCUGGGAUGUUCACAACCCAUAACGCCGUGGUUCUCAGUAGAUGUGAGAGUGUGCAGAAAAUUAGCCUCCCAAGGGACUUUUGGUAAUGUUGGAGAUAUUUUUGGUUGUCACAACUGGUGGGAAUUACUAACUGGCACCUAUACGGUGGAUCCCAGGAAUGCCAUUAAAUGUGUUCCAAUGCACAGAAAUGCACCCAAAACAAAUAUUUACCCAGCCAAAAAUAUUAAUAGUUCUGAGGGUGUCAAACCCUGCUCUGUCAGAUGAGUAGUUUGCAUAGCAGAUAUGGAGAUUUAGUCCAAAAACAUCGGUGGAUUAUGAAUGCUGGAUGAGCAGUGGGGUCUGUAAUGGUUAAUUUUGUUUGUCAACAUGAGCGGAAUAAAAAAUAUCUAGAAAACUCGCAAGGCAUUAUUUUGUGAGGGUCUUUCCAGAGGAGAUUGGCAUUUUAGUCAGUGGAAUUAGUAAGGAAAACCUGCCCUCAAGGUACAUGAGCACCAUCCAGUUGGCUGAGGGACUGGAUAGAACAAAAAAUAGAGGAAAAUAUUUUUUUCUUUCUUUCUAGUUUGGAGCUGGAACAUACUCUUCUUCUCCUCUUGAACAUUGCAAGUCCAGCCUUUGGACUCCAGGACUUACAAAAAGAUGCCCCACCCUGGGUUUCUCAGGCCUUCGAUCUCAAACUGAGAAUGACAGUAAUAUGGUUUGGCUCUGUGUCUCCACCUAAAUCUCAUCUUGAAUUGUACUCCUGUAAUUCCCACAUGUUGUGGGAAGGAACCAGUGGAAGAUAAUUGAAUCAGGGGCAGGUCUUUCCUGUGCUGUUCUUGUGACAGUGAGUAAGUCUCACAAGACCUGAAGGCUUCAUAAGGCAUACUUUUCCUGCACAAGCUCUUUCUGCCUGCCACCAUCCAUGUAAGAUGUGACUUGCUCCUUCUUGCCUUCUGCCAUGAUUGUGAGGCUUCCCCAGUCACGUGGGACAGUAAGUCCAAUUAAACCUCUUUCUUUUGUGAAUUGCCAAGUCUUGUGUAUGUCUUUAUCAGCAGUGUAAAAAUGAAUUAAUACAGUAAAUUUGUACCAGUAGAGUGGGGCACUGCUGUAAAGAUACCUAAAAAUGUGGAAGCAACUUUGGAACUGGGUAACAGGCAGAGGUUGGAACAGUUUGGAGUGCUCAGAAGAAGAUAGGAAAAUGUGGGAAAGUUUGGAACUUCCUAGAGACUUUUUGAAUGGCUUUGCCCAAAAUGCUGAAAGUGAUACAGACAAUAAAGUCUGGGCUGAGGUGGUCUCAAAUGGAGAUGAGGAACUUGUUGGGAACUGAAGUAAAGGUGACUCUUGCUAUGUUUUUGCAAAGAGACUGGCUGCAUUUUGCCCCUGCCCUAGAGAUUUUUGAAACUUUGAACUUGAGAGAGAUGAUUUAGGGUAUCUGGUGGA